ACGCUCGACACCUACGGGGGCAGCAGUGGGGAAUAUUGCACAAUGGGGGAAACCCUGAUGCAGCGACGCCGCGUGAGCGAAGAAGUAUUUCGGUAUGUAAAGCUCUAUCAGGGCAGGGAAGAAACUGACGGUACCUGACUAAGAAGCACCGGCUAAAUACGUGCCAGCAGCCGUGGUAAUCUGAGGCGGGCUGGCAAGGC
rnacentral:rRNA from 1 species